rnacentral:lncRNA from 1 species
AAAUUUGCUAAUUUUUAUGGUUUUACAGGUUCAAUCAUGGUCGACCAUGAAGCAAAAAAGUAAUGGUUGAAGAAGGUGAGCUAAUCAACUCGAUUGACAAUAACAGUUUAUGAUGUCCAGCUGAGUUUCCGGAAAACUGCAGAAUGGCAAGUUUAUAGUUGGUUCAACUAUAAUCAUUGAUUGCCCACCAGUCUGGAAAACCAAAUGGUUAUAAUAUCAUUGAAGUUAUAAGCCACCGUACAGAUACUUUGUGACUUAUUAAAGCUACUUGUAAAUACAUGUUGAACAUAAAGAAAUAUAUAAUCACACAAAAUAUUAAGAACCAAUCCAUAGUUCAGGUAUGUGAGCAAUCUUUUGCCAAUCUUCACCCUCCUCUCUUUGGCACCGUUUUUCUAAAAUAGGGCAAGACUGUAUUUCUAAAUAUGUAAGAGAGGUAGGUAGCCCCUUUUUAGGCAACCGAUGAAUCUCAGGGCAAAACCAUAUAGUUAAAGAUGUAAGAGAGGUGGGUAGCUCCUCUUCAGGCAACCGUUGAAUCUCAGGGCAAUACCGUAUAGUUAAAGAUUUAAGAGGUGUCGGUAGCCCCACUUCAGGCAACCGUUGAAUCUUUGGGCAAGAGCUGAUCUCCAAUUCUUGAAGAGAUGUGAGCUUCCCGAGCACCAAGCCAUCAAGGUUCUUCAUAUUUGGAAAUUUGGAUAUAUAGAGACGUUCUAGCCAGGGGGGCAGCAGUCCUUCAUCUGGAAAUGACUCCAGGUCCUCAAUUUCAGAACCGAUUGACAAGUACGUGAGAUGAGUGAGGCUUUGCAAACCCCACUUCAUUCGCUGCUCAAAAAGUUUGUCACACUGAUUUAUUGUCAUCCAAGUCAAACUGAAAGGAAGGCCUCCUUCUGGAAAUGAAUCAAUAUUCGGACAAUUCAAUAUGCACAAAUAGUCAAGAGACGGAAGAAGGCUGUGCAUUCUUUCAGGCAGUGACUUCAAUUUACAGCAGUUUUUAAGAGUAAGAGAUUUCAUGUUGGGAGCAGGCAAUUCCCCAGCAGGAAAAGAAUCAAAAUUGGGGCACUCUUCUAUUCUUAUUGUUGCUAGUGAUUUAAGUUCACGGAAACUGCUCUUCGAAAAUGUUAGGGAUUCAAGCUUCCUACAACUGAUAAGUUCAAGAUGCCUAAGGUUUGGAAACAAGUCAAAUGGAAAUGACUUUAAACUCCAACUUAUUACCAGAUACUUGAGGAAUUCGUAGCAGCAGCUGAUUGGGAGCUGAAACUUCUCAUCCUGGAAUCUUUGAAAUUUACACAUAGCUGGAGUGGUUUGAAGUGAAGCCACAAGCUCCCGACAACCUUCAAUUACAAGCUUUUUCAAUAAUGGAAGAUAGAAAGGAAAAUCACCUUUGAGGUUGUCGCAACGCAUUAUGUAAAGCUUCCGUAGACGAGGGAAAACACCACUACCACAUUCUCCAUCAGGAAAGAACCAAUCCUGCCACUGUUCCAUGUACAAAAACUCCAAAAUUUCGAGACAUUGAAAUGACUGAAUUCCGACAGAACAGUUUCCAUAAAACUCAGAGCCAACAGCAACCACACUCUUCAUUCGUCUGAUACGGAGUUCUUUGAGGGAAGGUAGUUGCCCAAGUGGUGGCAAGAUAACGCAAAAGUCACAGUCGCAGAGACAAAGAAAUACUAAAUUAGGUAAUGACUGAGCUCCCAGCCAAUCUGGAAAUCUCGUACCCCCAUACCGUGCAAGGACAAGUUCUUGCAGAUUUCUGUGAGGUUGAAGAUUGUCCAGAAUCUCUCUAGCAAUUUGUGAAUCGCUUGUACAACCACUCCAUUCCAGAGACAGCUUCUUAAUGUACUUCUUAUCUUUCAACUUGGCCACUGAUGCAUCCUGCACAUGANNNNNNNNNNNNNNNNNNNNNNNNNNNNNNNNNNNNNNNNNNNNNNNNNNNNNNNNNNNNNNNNNNNNNNNNNNNNNNNNNNNNNNNNNNNNNNNNNNNNNNNNNNNNNNNNNNNNNNNNNNNNNNNNNNNNNNNNNNNNNNNNNNNNNNNNNNNNNNNNNNNNNNNNNNNNNNNNNNNNNNNNNNNNNNNNNNNNNNNNNNNNNNNNNNNNNNNNNNNNNNNNNNNNNNNNNNNNNNNNNNNNNNNNNNNNNNNNNNNNNNNNNNNNNNNNNNNNNNNNNNNNNNNNNNNNNNNNNNNNNNNNNNNNNNNNNNNNNNNNNNNNNNNNNNNNNNNNNNNNNNNNNNNNNNNNNNNNNNNNNNNNNNNNNNNNNNNNNNNNNNNNNNNNNNNNNNNNNNNNNNNNNNNNNNNNNNNNNNNNNNNNNNNNNNNNNNNNNNNNNNNNNNNNNNNNNNNNNNNNNNNNNNNNNNNNNNNNNNNNNNNNNNNNNNNNNNNNNNNNNNNNNNNNNNNNNNNNNNNNNNNNNNNGAAUCAGGCAACUUUUUUAUGUGACAAUUGGACAGAGAGAGAACACGUAGGCACCGAAAUUUCUGCCACAAGUCAUUAGGUACCUUAAUAGAACUGCACUUAUAUAACAAUGAAGGAGACAGAAGGAGGGUGCGUAAGUACUUGGCUUCGUAAAAUGUCUCAAGUUUCUUUAACUUAUCAUUAUCAUGAUAUUCCCUGGAAAAAGACUUGUAUCUCGUCUUCCUGCCAACUUUAUGUGACGGUUCACUCUCAAAACUAUGACAGAAUUCCCCUGACACAGAUUUAGCCAAAUCAUGAAUAAGGUCAUGCAUAAUGAAUCGAGAUUUAUCUCGAGUUGAUUUUUGAAAAAAGGACCUCGAUGUCAGAUGAUUGAAGUACUCAUCCCCUAUAUCUUCCAUCUUCUUCUUUCCUUUAGGUCGAUGUAAAAGAUCUUCUGCCAUCCACAUUAAUAUUAAUUCCUCCUUCUUGAACUCGUAGCCCUUGGGGAAUAUAGCACAGUAAGCAAAACACUGCUUCAGAUUCGAUGAGAGAAAAAGAUAGCUCAGUCUAAGAGCUGGAAGAAUGUUGCUUAUAUCAUCUGGCAAAUCCCAGAUAUUGCUUUCAAAAAUCUCAUUCCAUUCCUCGAGACUUUGUUUGGAACGCAGUAGACCACCUAAUGUCUUCACAGCUAGAGGCAAGCCUUUGCACUUCUUGACUAUUUGCCUGCCAACUGCUUCAAGAUUCGGAUAUGCUUCUGAAUUUCUGUUGUCUAAGGCGUGUUUCACAAAUAACAGCCAUGAAUCACUUUCUGAUAAUUCUUCUAGAUGGCGAGUUGGAAUAGUUUGCAUCAUUGAUGCAACACCUUCAUUUCGUGUUGUCACGAUGAUCUUACUUCCUUGAGCUCCAGAUGAGAAAGGUUUCCUUAAGGAGUCCCAGUUAUCAUAAUUCUCAUUCCAAACAUCAUCGAGAACAAUAAGAAAUUUCUUCCCUUUCAAAGUCUCAUUCAGUUUAACUUGAAGCAGAUUAAGAUCCUUGAUAUCCACAAUCCCUGGAGAAAUUGUCUCGAGCACUGUUUUAGUAAUCCUAAAUAUAUCAAAUUCUUGUGAAACACAUACCCAGAAUUUGAUUUCAAAACAAUUAUUCACUCUACAAUCAUUGUAUGCCAGCUGAGCCAGGGUGGUCUUGCCAACACCACCCAUGCCCACGAUAGCAACCACACCUAUAUUCCUGUCACUUGCAUCAUCAGAGAGCAGCAAGUUAAUCAUUGCCUCCUUCUCCUCAUCUCUACCAAACACAUAAUAAUCAUCAACCAGAGAAGUCGUUGGAAAACUUGUAAUGAGGUUUCGACCAACACCUUCUCUCAAACUGAGUACAUCCUUCUGGUUAGCCAUAUAUUCUAGCGUGUCAAGUGUCUCUGCCAAACGCGAUUCUAUCUCCUUGUCAACUGAACUAGGAAUAGAUGGAAGGAAAGUCCAUACCUGGUUUGAAUCUGCUUCGUCUCGAGCUUCCAACAAGCACCGUGAAGCUUCAAAGGCGAUUUCAUCCAGGAGGUCCUCUGCAAUGUAGACUGCAUCUUUAAGUUCAUCAAGCCAUUCUUUGACUGCUGGAUCUGUUAUCUGCUUCUCUUCAGCAUCAUUGAGCACGGGAUAAAUGGAAAGCAGAGUGAGCUUCAACUUCUUGAGCAAAUUGGUGUUGAGUUUUCUGCAGCGAACGAAAUCUAAAACCUCAGGGGAAGCCAUCCGAUCAAACAGAACCUGGAGAAAAGCUGAGAGGAAAGCUCCACCAACCAUGGAUGCAGCCAUUGUUGUGAUGAAGAAAAGUACUGAGAAGAUAGAAGUAUUCAAACAAUUGAAGCUGGAAAGUAUUAAUAUAAUAAUAAUGCAAGCAGGGAUGAAGGUGGGCGGCCUCACGUUGAGUAGCAAAUGGGAGAUGUUAAUGGAUUAUAUAAAUCCUGUCCGCGUCAAACAAAAUUAUAAAAAAAAUAAUUAAUUUAAUAUAUACCUAAUAUAUGCAUAAAAAUUAAUUCAAUUAUUUUUUGUUUAAUGUAAUUCAAUGUCUAGAACAGAUGGUUAAUAAGAUUAUAAAAGCUAAUGCAUAACUAGGUUCCAUUUGAUACCUGUAAACAUAAUUUUAAUUUAAUUCUUUAAAUUCACAUACAGUACAUGAAAACAUAUAUAUUUAUGCAUGAAAACAUAAACAACGUAGUUUUUUUGGAAAUCACUAAGAACAAAUUUUUGUUCUCUUCAAACUCUGAAUUCAUUUCAACUAUGAUUCUCAUUCUUAUUCCGGUAAGUGUUUUAUGAAGAAACACAGAGAAAGUGACCUACCCAUCUCCUCGCCAGUGUGAAAAUUAAACACAUGGAUGGACCCAACAUAUCUUCUCCCCCAGUAAUGAACCUAUUCCCAAGCUUUGGUUCUAAUGAAGCUGAUUCCCAACAUUGCAGGGCAUAUUGUAGCUCUUCACCAAAACUCACUGAUUUGCAUCCCAAAACUUAAAAGUAGAUCCAUCAGCAGUGGUUAUAUAGCGUCCAUCCUGUCUCACUUCGGCGCUAGUUACAAGUGACUGGGUCUCUAGUGUUUGAACAAUUUUGCCACUUCUUACAUCCCAUAACCUACAAGAACACCAGCAAACAAGAAAAUAAAAGGAACACAUAAUGCAAAAGUUAUGGAGGAUAAUAAAGUUAAUAACACAGCAAGUUGAGUAUUAAAAACAAACUGAAGUAGACUACAUCUAGGUUUAUAUAGUAACAACUAAGUUUUACUCUACUGCUGGAAGGGAUGCAAAGAAGUUAAUAUCUUGUGAAUAUUUGAAAUAGAGAAACCAACAUAAAGAUCCAAUCCAACAAACAGUAGAGAGAAAAGCAGCUGGCAAAAUAUAGAAAAUCAGAUCACAUACGCACAGACUUUUAGUCAUAUUUUGUACCUUACACUGCCAAUAUCAGUACAGGAACUUAAUAUUGUCUGAUCAUUGUGAAGCCAGUCAGCAGUUCUGACUACACCAGGAGACUUGUCAACUUCUCGGGGAGGUGCAUCUGGACGAUUUAAAUUACGGAGAAUUCUCUCGAGUCCAUCAGUGAGUAGUAGGUGUGUGUCCUAGUCAAAGAUCAUUAUUUAGGCAACAGAUGCAUAUAGCAAAAAUUGGAGAUACCAUAUACCUUCACCCUAAAUAUAUCAUGAAUAUCAUAACCAAAAGAUAAUUUUGUUACGAACAUUAGACUUAAGGGAUAUAUACAGACAUAAUAACAUAGGGCAAACUAUGGUUAAAUUUGCUAACUUGGUGAUUUGGGUUAAAACUAGAGAUUCUCAGAUAUUAGUUAUCAGUUGAUGGAUAAAAAUAAAUAGCAAAUUAAUUUGAAGUUCCUUGGAUUCCUUUUUUGUGAGAAAAUAAUCAAGGGAAGGGGGAGAAACACAGAUAAAGCUGAAAGUCUAAAAAAUGUUGAACAAGAGCCUUCAGGCCACCUUUUAAAGCAAAAAGGGAUGCCAAUGAACUCAACCUUCUUGAACCACAUAAUACACACAUCACGCAGGGAACAUAGUUUGGCCUGCGUUCUUGCAACAGAUCAAAAGUGUUGAUGCUACUAAGAAUAACAGUCCAAACAAAAACCUUUAUCUUACAAGCAACUUUAGCCUUCCAAAACAUAGUAGUGAAAGUCUCAUCCUAAGAACUAAAAAUAUGGAUAAGAUGAAUAAAAAGAGACUUGCAGGUCUAUACACUCAGAGGAAUCUAAUGUUGGAAUUUUGCUAUUGGAAUGCGGAAAACAAUAAAGGGCUCAAGGAUGAGUAAAAAAACGAUGCAUGCCAUCUGACUCUUGGUCAUUUAAAUUCCUAAGGAAAAGAAAUUCCAAGAUAUGUAACCACUAAGAUUAAUUUAGUGAUAAAUAGGAGCAUUACGAUGAGAUGAUACAGAAAGGUGUUUUCCCCGAUGUGCUUAAAUUAGGACAUUUAUUAUGCCCUUCAGCUGUAUGAUGAAAUGGUGAGAAGGGGAUGUGAUCCGGAUAUAGUAACAUAUACUGAAUUAAUCAGAGGCCAUUGUGGGCAAGGUAACACAAAGGAGUUCAGAAGAGCUUCUUGUAGAGAUACAGAAAUCUGGUUUAGUGGUUGAGUUCCAUUUCAGAUACUUAUUACAAAGUACUGCACAAUGAGGGAGCCCCACCUUGCAUUUUACCUAUACCAAAGGUGCGUGAUCGGUGAUAAAUGAGUUUGUGAUUCAGUAACUUCAAAAUUAUUCAUAGGCACUGCAGAACUGCGAAGUUUGUUGCAAGCCAUUAAGUUCUUGUAUAUUGUGAUGGGGUCAGUUUUCUGCCUAUGGUGUCCAUAGACUGUGAUUCUUGUUGGUUAUGUAUCCAGCCCAAACAAAAACAAAAAAAAAGGGGCAAAUUAGUAGUUAAAAAAAAAAAAAGAAAAGAAAAAAAAGAAAAAGAAAAACAAAGAGAGUUAGAGAGUGUAAAAGAUUGAAAAAUAUCCCUGCUAGAGUUUUCGAAGAAAAUGAAUGGUCAAGAUCGAAAAUGAAUAUUGGGUGGUUGUAUCUGUUAGGAUUUUUUUUCUCUCUCGAUUAGUAUAUAAAUGCAUGUCUAUGCACCAUAAAUGAAGGAACAGAAGAAAUAUUUAAAAACUCUUUUAUUACCUUUCUCACUUUUUACCGAGAGAAAUAGAGAAGAGUGUACCGCAAGAGGAAAGGAAGAAGAGAACUUAUAUAUAUAUAUAUAUAUAUAUAUACACAUAUACAUCUACAAGUUGAGUAGCUACCAAGAGAAGAAAAAAAAAAUGAUUUUCAUUCUCUCUACUUUUGUUUGCCUCUUUCUUCUAGUUCUACACACAAAAAAAGGUUGUUUUUUGAAUUUAACUCUUAGUGGAUUAUCUCGUACUUAAUUUUAUUAAUAAUGUAUUUGAUUGAAUAUUGACCCGUGGUUUUUUCCUUUACACUAAAACAUUUUCUACGUAAAUUAUGUAUCGAUUUAAUUUUUCAACUAUUAUCUGCUUAUUAUUUUUACUCCAUUGUGCAUCAAUUUGAGUUAGGGUUAUGCUUAUUAGUUCCUACUAAUUAAUUUGAAAUUAACUUAAUUUACACAGUUAAUUAUAUUCUUGUUCGGAACCCAACAAGUGGUAUCAGAGCCAGGUUGACUAGUUUGUUAAUUGAUUUGUGAUCUGAGAUUAAUUGUAUGAAAUAGAAUGAAAGAAUUUGCUGCUACUAUGAUAAAAUUGUCUUCUUCAAAUUAUUUAAUUUGGAAGUCAAAGAUGGAGGAUUUUCUUUAUUUUAGGGGUUUAUAUGAUCCGAGUAAAUUAAGAACUACUAAGCUAAUGGGAAAAUCACAUGAUGAUUCGGAGAAAAUACAUUGAAAGACUGUAGGAACUAUCUGAAAGUUGGUGAAUAAUAGUGUCUAUCAUUACAUAAAUAAAAAAGUAAUUGCACAGGUUUUAUGAAACAAAUUGAAAAAUAUGUAUGAGAUAAAAAAUGCUCGGAAUAAGACUUUUACUAUUAGAAAGCUUGUUAAUCUGAAGUUGAGAGAUGGACAAUCAUUGCAGAACACUUCAGUAAAUUUCAAUAGUUGGUAAAUGAGUUAAAUACAAUAAAAAUGGCUCUAGAUGAUGAAUUGCAGAAGUUAUUGCUCUUAAGCUCUUUGCUAGACAGUUGAAAAACCUUAGUAGUGUCUCUUAACAAUUCUGCUCCAUAUGGUAUUUUGUCUUUACUUGUGGUAAUAGAUAAUCUGCACAAUAAAGAGACUAAAAGAAAAGAUAUGGGUAUUGAGACUUUACAGGCACUUAUUACAAUAAUAGAGAAUAGGGAUAGAAGUAAAAGUAGAGGUCCUAAGGGGCGCUAUAGAUCCAUAUGUAAAUCAUAGGUGAACAGUAAGUUCACUUGUUAUCAUUGCGGCAAAGAGGGACAUAUAAAAAGAAAUUGUAGGAUUUGGAAAAAUGAACAAAAUCAGAAAAAGAUAGAUAAUCAGAACACUACUGCAACUGUAGCUGAUGAUAAUGAAAAACUGGUUGUACUUUCAUUUGUUGAAGAUUAUAGCCACGUCACUGAUUCUGAUACUGAGUGGAUUGUUGAUUCUGCAGCAUCCUAUCAUGCUACACCUAGAAGAGAUGUCUUCACUAUGUACAAAGUAGGAGAUUUUGGCAUAGUGAAAAUGAGUAAUACCAGCUAUGUAGACAUUAUAGGUAUUGGUGAUAUUUGUGUGUAGAUAGAUAUUGGUUGUGUGUAGACAGAUAUUGGUUGCACGUUGAAUCUAAAGAAUGUGUGGUAUGUACCAGAUUUACAUUUUAAUAUGAUCUCUACAAAUGCUCUUGAUUUAUAUUGUUAUUACAAUCUAUUUGGUGGUAGAAAAUGGAAACUCACUAAAGGUUCAAUUAUAAUUGUUAGAGGCAAAUUGUGUCAUACACUUUACAAGACUCAGAUGAAUAUUAUUAGAGGUGCACUGAAUGCAGCUGUAGAUGAUGUUUCACCAAACUUGUGGCAUAAGAGGCUGGCUCACAUGAGUGAGAAGGGGUUGCAGAUUUUGGCAAAGAAGUUCUUUAUUCCUUUUGCAAAAGGUAUGAGUUUAAACCUUUGUAAUUAUUGUGUGUAUGGUAAACAACAGAGAAUUUCUUUUACUAGCUCAUCUGAAAAGAAAAAGAAUGUUCUUGAAUUAGUUUACUCUGAUGUGUAUGGUCCUAUUGAUGUAGAAACCUCAGGAGGUAGCAGAUAUUUUCUUACUUUUAUUAAUGAUACUUCAUGAAAGAUUUGAGUGUUUGUGUUGAAAACAAAAGACCAGGUUUUUCAGUAUUUUAAGCAAUUUCAUGUCAUGGUGGAAAGAGAGAAAAAAACUCAUUUAAAGUAUUUUCGUAAUGACAAUGGUGGUGAAUACACUUCAAAGAAGUUUGAGAAUUAUUGCCUAUAGCAUAGAAUUAGAUAUGAGAAGACAAUGUCUGGUACUCCUCAGCAUAAUGGUGUAGCUGAAAGAACAAACAUGACUCUCCUUGAAAAGGUCAUAUGCAUGUUGAAAAUGGCUAAUUUACCAAAAUCAUUUUAGGGUGAAGCACUAUACAAUGUUUGCUACUUGAUGAAUCGAUCUCCAUGGUCUGGGAAAGAUGUCAAUUAUUCUCAUUUGAAGGUAUUUGGCUGCAAGACAUUUAUGCAUAUACCUAAGGAGCAGAGAUAAAUGCUUAUGAUAGAACAGUUUCAUGUAUUUUUUUAAGCUAUAGAGAUACAAAGUUUGGAUACAGAUUGUGGGAUCCAGUGAAGAAAAAGGUCGUCAGGUCUGGAGAUGUGAUUUUUGAUGAGCACAAGACCUUAUUAGAUUUUGAGACAACAUAAAAGAUUAUAAGUGAAGAUAUUCAUCUUCCUACACUAGUUUAUCCUUCGAUCAGAGAUGCCACAGACGAGAGAGAGUUACAUGAUGAUCAAAGGUUUGAUAAUAUCUCAGUACCAUAUGAUAUUGAGCAGGGGGAGCAGCCCCUUGCAUCCCAGGUUACAGAAGAACCUUAGCUUAGAAGAUCAACUAGAACAUAUUAUCUUUCUAUCAGAUACUCCAAUUUUGAGUAUAUUAUAGUUACUGAAGAGGGGGAACCAAAAAGCUUUCAAGAAGUUUAGAACCAUCAAGAAAAGUCUUAGUAGUUGAAAGCAAUGGAAGAAGAGACGAGCUCUUUGAAUCAGAAUAAUACCUACGAGUUAGUUGAACUUCCAAAAGGCAGAAAAGCUUUGAAAAACAAGUAGGUAUACAAGCUUAAUAUGGACAGUGAGAAGCUAAUGAAAUAUAAGGUUUGUUUGGUAGUAAAGGAUUUCAAUCAGAAGAAAGGAAUUGACUUUGAUGAGAUAUUUUCUCCUGUUGUGAAGAUGAGCUCAAUUUGGGUAAUUCUUGAUUUAAUUGUCAGUUUAGAUCUUGAGCUUGAAUAACUAGAUGUGAAGACAAUAUUCCUUCGUGGUGAUUUGGAGGAAGAAAUCUACAUGAACCAAACAGAAGGAUUUGAAGUCAAAGGGAAAGAACACAUGGUUUGCAUGUUGAAAAAGAAUUUAUAUGGAUUGAAACAGGCUCCGAGAUAGUGGUACAAGAAAUUUGAUUCUUUUAUGGUCAGUCAUAGUUACACCAGAAUAGAUGCAGAUCAUUGUAUGUGCUUCAGGACAUUCUCAUAUGGUAAGUUUGUCGUUCUGUUAUUUUAUGUUGACGAUAUGUUAAUAGUAGGACAAGAUAUUAUAGAGAUUAAUGGUUUAAAAAAGGAAUUGUUUGGCUUUUUUUAUAUGAAAGAUUUGGAACCAGCACAAUAGAUUUUGGGUAUACAGAUUACUCGUGACAAGAAAGUUAAAAAAUUAUGGUCGUCGCAAGAAAGGUAUGUUGAGCAGGUUCUAAACAGAUUUUAUAUGAAGAAUGCUAAGCCAAUUAGCACACCACUUAUUAAUCACUUUACACUUAGCAAGAAAUUAUGUCCUGUUACUCAAUAAGAAAAAGAAGAAAUGUCAGUUGUUACUGUAGCACUCGGAAAGGAGGAGAAAAAAAAAAAAAAAAGCCACGUCAGCAGUCCCGGCCAACCAGGGCCUGCCACGUGGCAAGACCACGUCACUUCGAAAGGUAGCCACGUUGGCGAUCCGCGUGGGUGAAAUCCGACGGCCCAGAUCAAUCGCGCGAUCGGACGGCCCAGAUACAAUCGCACGGACGGCCCAGAUUCAAUCAAAAACGAACGGCCCAGAUUAAAACAAAAUGGACGGCUGAGAUCAAAAGGCAAGGGGUUAUAAAUAGAACCUCCACACCAGACCACAAACCCUAGCCGCCUGCCGCUCGCCGGAGAAGACGAACCAGAGGCCGACCGCCGCCACCCGCCGCCGCACCGGGGAAAUUUCCGACCGCCGAUCGAGGUAAAUUUCAUACCCCCGACUCGUUUUUCCACGCUGAUUCCUCCUAUGGCCAAAUCGAAGCCAAAAUCUCGGCCAAACGGCCGGAAUACGCGGCCGAAGACCAGCGGUGCCGCCGCGCCCCCUAUCGGUUUUUGCCUCCGACGAGGCCCUUCCCGGCCUCCAUUGGAUGCAAUUUUUAUAUCACCGUGAUCACCAUUCUUUUCUCUACAGGUUGACCGGAGCCGAAUCACCAAAACACGAACCUCGCCGGAGAGCCGCCGCACCCGAGAGCGCCGCCGCUGGUAAGCUCCGUUUUUCCGUGAUUUUUUGGCCCCCCGAGGGCCCUAGGGUUGUUUUCUCACAAGGACCGAUGCGAGUGUGGCCGAAUUCGGCCGAAAACGGCCGAAAACAGCCAACCCGAGGCGACUCGCCGCCGCGCCGGAGCACGGCGGAACCGCCGUGCCGGAGUUGCGAUUUGGGCCGAAAGAGGCCCUGGGCCUAAUUUGGGUUUUUUUUGGAACACGUGCAGGUACUGUUAGUGUGUUUCAGUUCCCCGGAAAAAAUUCAGAGAAAAUUAGGGACGGCCUGCAGGCGCACUGUGAAUCGUAUUCGGAUCCCGAAAACAAGUAAGGACCCCUCACCCUAUUUCCUAUCACGGUAUUAAAGUUCAAAAUGAUAAAACGGUAUUUCUUGAAUUAACGAAUGUGUGAAAUUGUUUAAGGUGGCUAAUGGAGCCCGAGUCUAGUGUGAUUGGUGAUUUACUGUUAUUUGGCCUGUUUACAGCUUUAAAUGCAAAAUGAGGUUUGAUGUGUUUAUUUUACAGAUUUGUGUGCAUAUACUACGUUUUUAUUAAUCAUGGGUUGAAUGACUGAAAAACUGAUGUUGUAUGUUGUCUGUUUGGCAUGAAUUACGAUUUGCUUGUUUAAAUGUGAAUUGAUGAUGCUGACUGAGGAAAAGGAAAAUGAAAGAUUGUGUAGACUGAUAAUUGUAUUAUGGGGGUCAGCCUGACUAGAUAUCCUGGGAGAUGGUGGACGGACCGGGUCCGUAGGGAACCCUACCGGGAUUGUGGUCUCACAUGCCGGACGGGGUAUGGAGAUCUUAUGGUUUUGGCGCCCAUACCGGACGGGGUAUUGAGGUUUAUGGUUUUGGCGCCCAUACCGGACGGGGUAUGGGGACGGCCCGUUUCACCCUCAUACCGGACGGGGUAUGGGGACGGCCCGUUUCACCCUCAUACCGGACGGGGUAUUGAGGUUCAUGGUUUUGGCGCCCAUACCGGACGGGGUAUGGGGACGGCCCUGGAAACUGAUUAUGAAUGUUAAAGGUUAACGGGUAGCGGAACCCCUAUGGACCCCCACGGAUACUAGUAGGCUGGUAAAUGAGAAAAAGAUAUGUUGUACAAUGAUUGAAUUACAAGAGGCGUGAUAAGUGUUAUGUUUUACAGCUUAUAUUAUUCCAUGAUUAUGAUAAUGUUAUUGUUUUCUUAUAUUGUUUUCAUAAAUUCCACCGAGGUAAGUGGAUGGAAAAGGUUUUUAUGUUAAUAAGCGAGUUUGUUGUAAAUUAUGCUCCAUUGGUCUUUUUGUGUUUUCUACCCACCUUUACCUCCGUGACGGAGAGAUAUCGUGAUGUUUUUACUGGGUCAGUGUAGCUCACUCCUUACUUAACCAUUUCAGAUCAGGAAGAAAUGGUUCCCGAGCCCGUUCUGCAGGAGGACGACGAAGGGGAUACCUAGAGACUCUGUAGUCAUACUCAUAGUUUUAUUUUCGAGUUUCUCUCUUAGUUAGUUUAAUCUUUUAUAUUUUAAGUACGUUUUUGGUUUUUCGUGUAAGGGAUGUUAACUGAAAUUUUGAUCUCGCUUCCGCAAUUGAUAUAUUUAAAUACUCAUUUCAUUUUAAUAUUUCCGGGGCCGUUACAGUUACUUACUCUUCUGCAGUUGGGAGUUUGAUGUAUGCUAUGGUUUGCACUCGACCAAGUAUUGUUCAUGAUGUUGGUUUGACAAGCCGAUUUAUUUUUAAUCCUAGUAAGAGUUAUUGGAAAACAGUAAAAUAGAUUUUUAGAUAUCUGAAAUGUACUCCUAAGAUGUAUUUAUGUUUUGAAUGUUCAGAACCAAUUUUAGAGGGAUAUGCAAAUGCAGAUAUGGCAGGUGACCUUGAUAGCAGGAAGUCUACUUCAGGGUAUGUGUUUACUUUUGCAAGGAGAAUUGUAUCAUGGUAGUCUAAACUGUAAAAAUGUGUUAUCUUAUCUACAACUGAGGCAAAGUAUAUAGUUUUAACUGAAACAGGUAAAGAAAUGUUUUAGAUGAAAAGAUUUCUCGAAGAGUUGAGUUUGAAACAAGAUGAAUAUGUGAUGAAUAAUGAUAGUCAAAGUGCUCUAUAUUUGAGUAAUAAUGUCACAUAUCAUUGUCGUACGAAGGAUAUUGACGUGAGAUACUAUUGGAUACGAAAUGUAAUGAAUAAUAAAGAUAUGUUAUUGAAAAAUAUUUACACUGAUAAAAAUCGACAUGUUGACCAAGAUAGUGAAUUGUAACAAGUAUCCGUCUUGCACCAAUAAUGUGGGAUUGAUUGAAUAUUGAGCAAUGUAUGGUAUACAUCUCUUCAUAAGCUGGAGGAAGAGCUUGUUGGUUAUGUAUCCAGCCUAAACAAAAAAAUGGUAAAUCAGUAAUUCAAAAAAAAAAGAAAAGAAAAAAAGAAAAAGAAAAAAAAAAGAAUUAGGGUUGAAAUUUUCUUUUGGAUAUAAAUAUAUAUAUGUGUGCUGCAGGAAAAAAAAAAAAAAAAAAAAAGAGAGUUAGAGAGAAAGAGAGAAGAAUGUGCGGCAAGAGGAAAUGAAGAAGAUAACUUAUAUAUAUAUACACACACAUAUAUAUAAGUUGAGUGGCUACUAAGAGAAGAAAGAAAAAGUGAUUUUCAUUCUCUCUCCUUGAUGAUAUUAUCGCAGACAUCAGCAAUUUCUUCAUUUUCUAAUGGAAGUUUAAACUUGAUUCUGUUUCCCUCUUUUUUCUAGUUCUGCACCCAAAAAAUGUUGUUCUUUCUGUUUUGGAUUUAAUUUUUAAUGGAUUAUCUUAUAUUUAAUUUUAUUAAUAGUAUAUUUGAUUCUAAACUUAAUCUGUGAUUUUUUUCUUUACACUGAAGAAUUUUUUAAUAAAUUCUAAAUUUAUUUAAUUUUUCAACACGUAUUUAUUUAUUAUCUUUUUUCUAGUAUGCAUUAAUUUAACUUAAGAUUAUAGUUAUUAAUUUCUGCUAAUUAAUUUGGGAUUGAUUUAAUUUAUACAAUUAAUUAUACUCGACCAACAAUUCUUUCAUGAGGUAUAUGUAUUUCUUAUUGCGUUGUGUAAGAUUACUGAUGACAGUUUUUGUAUUUGUUGAUGACAUGUAAAGUUUGUUAUUUUUGUUUUUCAUUUAUUUGUGAUGUUGCCCUUUGGCUGUAGGUGUUUAGCAGUCUGUAUAUAUGUGCUAGUGGUAAAACCCAUUUGCUUAGUGUGAGAAAAAAUAUAUAACAAAAAUUUUUGUCUUCUUCUCCCAUAUUUUCUUCUCUGCUCUGUUCUGCUCUGUUAUGAUUUCAUCUUCUUCUUCUUCUCCCAUAUUUUGUUGGGUUCUGCUUUGUUUUGCAUUUCUUUUUAACACUUUGUUAUACUUUCCCUUCUGUUGACUCUUUCUCUGAAACAAUUGUCACUCCUGUAUUCCACAGGAAAAUGGUGUUCUAACUGUUAUACAUUUUUUUGUAUGUAGUUUUACUAGUUUUAGUUGAUUAUACUCUAGUUAAUGAGGUUUAUUGUUAUAAAUGAAGGCGAAGAAAGCUUUGGUGAUCAUGGGAUUUACAUCCCAUGCUUAUAUGGUAGAUCUCUGUUUCAGGUUGUUCAAUGAUUGAUUGAACAACUGGUUCCAAGAUGGAGGAAUAUUUAGAUGUUUUUAUAUUUAUUAGAAGUGUCUUGAAGGAUUUUUCUUUCAGAAUGUUGUUUAAGAUCUGAUUUACUAUGUUUUGUGAUAAUGGAAAUUUUUUGGUUCAGCAUAUAGCUGCUUGGAUUGUUGUUGAGCCCUGAGGCCCUGAACUUAAGGUCCUAGAGGUUUCUCAAGAACCCUUCAUCUUAGCCAUCUUCAGUUAUUGGUGAGGACAGUGUCAGAAUGCUCUGAAUGGUGGCUGAAGGCCUUGGGCAGUUGAAGAUGCCUGACUACACCCUUAGAGAGGGACAAUUAAACAUGCCUCUUAAAAUAAUUCCCUUGUGCUGUGGCAAUAAAGUAAGAAUUCACAGCACUUGUUACUUGUUUGUCGAUUUGGAAACUCGUAAGAUUUGGAAAAUAGUAAAAAGCUUCUCCAUUUUCCUGGUGAAAUUUGCUAAAUUUUAUGGUUCUACAGGUUUAAUUAGGGUGGGUCAUGAAACAAAAAAGCCAUGGUUGAAGAACAUGAGCUAAUCAAUUAGAUUGACAAAAACAGCUUAUGAUGUUCACCAGAGUAUCCAAAGACUGCGGAAUGGCAAGCUGGUGUCAACCAUAAUCAUUGGUUGCCCAUCAGUCUAGAAAACCAAAUUGCAAUAAUAUUGUUGACGUUACAAGGGUGAUCCGUUUCCGAUUUGAAUUAACAGGAUGGGAAGUGUUUCUCCUUUCCAUUAUGAUUGAUUGCAACGAUGCUUGUUCAUCUCUUGGGAAUGCAUUUUGGGAAGUACUAACUUGUGAGCAAAUAUUCGGCGAAAAGAACCAGAAUUUUUUCCACUUUGAGCAAAGAAAGGAGUAGGAAAGUUGUAGUGAGCUAUUUGUUGAUUCCUCGUUCAGUUUCUCAAAAUGAUGUAGAAGAUGGAUGAGUGAAAUUACUUCAAGAAACAACUUAAUUACGCAGGAAAUUUACUUGUAGACUUUGUAACUCGGAAUCGAAGGAUUCUAUUUGCUUAAAUAAGAUUAUCAUUCAUUUGCUGUUAGCAGAGAAAAGAGCUUUAAAUUGCAUAACAAUUGUUAUCAGAUAGUUAAUAUACUUGGAGCAAGUGAAUUAUUCUUGAGAAUACAUUCUGAGAUCUAAAUUUGGUCCAAAUAUGAAAAUUAUACAUUCUUGCUUUAAAGAAAUCAGAGCAAAAAUGAAGUAAAUUGACCAAAACUGAAGAAUUUUUAAAUAAAUCAUAUAAAAAUAUAAAUAAUUCAUAUUAGAGAUAACAAAAUUCAUCACAUCUGAACAAUACAGAGGUGAGGGAAAAAAAAAUAUAUGCCUUGGAGAACUAUCAAGUAUGAAAUAUCAAGCUGUAGUACAUUAUACCUUUAGAAAAAUUUAUUCCAUAAAUGUCUUAAUAAAACUGACUCUGCAAUUACAGGCAUGGAUUUCAAUAAACAGAACUAAUGGAAAACCAAUUACGAUAAAACAUAAUGCAAUGGUAAAAUUUUAAGCUUGAAAAAAUUGGAGAACUGAAAAAUAAAUAGAGAAGAAGAUGGUGAAAAAGAUUACUUCAUAGGGUGUAUAAUAUGCCAAAUAGGAAUGUGCCUACCCACCGGACAAAUACUCUGUGACUUAAAGCUACUUGUAAAUACAGGUUGAAGAUAAAGAAUAUAUAAUCACACCAAAGAUUAGUAACCAAUAUCUAGUCCAGGUAUGUGAGCAAUCUUUUGCCAAUCUUUACCCUCCUCUCUUUGGCACCGUUUUUCUAAAAUAGGGCAAGACUGUAUUUUUAAAUAUGUAAGAGAGGUUGGUAGCCCCUCUUCAGGCAACCGUUGAAUCUCAG